rnacentral:rRNA from 1 species
CUACGGGGGGCUGCAGUGAGGAAUAUUGCACAAUGGGGGGAACCCUGAUGCAGCAACGCCGCGUGGAGGAUGACGCAUUUCGGUGUGUAAACUCCUUUUAUAUGUCAAGAAAAUGACGGUAGCAUAUGAAUAAGCACCGGCUAACUCCGUGCCAGCAGCCGCGGUAAGUACGGAGGGUGCAAGCGUUACUCGGAAUCACUGGGCGUAAAGGACGCGUAGGCGGGUUGGAAAGUCAGGUGUGAAAUCCUACAGCUUAACUGUAGAACUGCACUUGAAACUUCUAAUCUAGAGUAUGGGAGGGGGAGAUGGAAUUAGUGGUGUAGGGGUAAAAUCCGUAGAUAUCACUAGGAAUACCUAAAGCGAAGGCGAUCUCCUGGAACAUUACUGACGCUAAGGCGUGAAAGCGUGGGGAGCAAACAGGAUUAGAUACCCCUGUAGUC